rnacentral:rRNA from 1 species
AUCUCCCGCUUGCGGGGGUGAUUAGUGGCGAACGGGUGAGUAAUACGUGAGUAACCUGCCCUUGACUCUGGGAUAAGCCUGGGAAACCGGGUCUAAUACUGGAUACGACCUCCUGUCGCAUGGUGGGGGGUGGAAAGGGUUUGACUGGUUUUGGAUGGGCUCACGGCCUAUCAGCUUGUUGGUGGGGUAAUGGCUCACCAAGGCGACGACGGGUAGCCGGCCUGAGAGGGUGACCGGCCACACUGGGACUGAGACACGGCCCAGACUCCUACGGGAGGCAGCAGUGGGGAAUAUUGCACAAUGGGCGGAAGCCUGAUGCAGCGACGCCGCGUGAGGGAUGACGGCCUUCGGGUUGUAAACCUCUUUCAGCAGGGAAGAAGCCACAAGUGACGGUACCUGCAAAAGAAGCGCCGGCUAACUACGUGCCAGCAGCCGCGGUAAUACGUAGGGCGCAAGCGUUGUCCGGAAUUAUUGGGCGUAAAGAGCUCGUAGGCGGUUUGUCGCGUCUGCUGUGAAAGCCCGGGGCUCAACCCCGGGUCUGCAGUGGGUACGGGCAGACUAGAGUGCAGUAGGGGAGACUGGAAUUCCUGGUGUAGCGGUGAAAUGCGCAAAUAUCAGGAAGGAACACCGAUGGCGAAGGCAGUCUCUGGGCUGUUACUGACCUAGAAC